GACCAGCCUGGCCAACACGGUGAAACCCCGUCUCUACUAAAAAUACAAAAAUUAGCUGGGCGUGGUGGCAGGCACCUGUAAUCCCAGCUACUCCCGGAGGCUGAGGCAGGAGACUUGCUUGAACAUGGGAGGUGGAGGUUGCAGUAAGCCGAGAUUGCACCAUUGCACUCCAGCCUGGGGUAUAAGAGUGACACUUCGUCUCAGAAAAAAAGAAAGAAAGAAAAGAAAUCAACCAGGGUCCCAGGGUGAAAAUGAAUUCAGCCAAACAACAUUCUUUUAUUUCUUUUUUUUGUUAGAGAUGAGGGUCUUGCUUUGUUGCCCAGGCUGGAGUACAGUGGUACGAUCAUAGCUCACUGCAGCCUGGAACUUCUGGGCUCAAGUGAUCCUCCCACCUCAGCCUCCCAGAUAAGUGGGAGAGACUACAGGCAAGGACCACCAUGCCUGGCUAAUUUUUUAAAUUUUUCUGUAGAGACGAAGUCUUGCUAUGUUGCCCAGGCUGAUCUUGAACUCCUGAGCUCAAAUGAUGCUCCCACGUCAGUCUCCCAAAGCGUUGAAAUUACAGGCAUGAGCCACUGCACCCCGCCAGAUGUUUUGUUGUUGUUGUUUUGUUUUGUUUGAGAUGGAGUUUUGCUCUUGUCGCCCAGGCUGGAGUGCAAUGGUGCAAUCUCAGCUCACUGCAACCUCUGCCUCCCGGGGAUUCUCCUGCCUCGGCCUUCUGAGUAGUUGGAAUUACAGGUAUGUGCCACCACGCUCGGCUAAUUUUUUGUAUUUUUAGUAGAGACGGGGGUUUCACCAUGCUGGCCAGGCUGGUCUUGAUUACCUCAGGUGAUCCACCCCCCUUGGCCUCCCAAAAUGCUGGGAUUACAGGCAUGAGCCACCGUGCCUGGCCUCGCCAGAUGUUUACUUCUUUUCAGUGGCUUGGUUUGGGCUACAGUUUUUUGUUUUUUUUUUUUAAGAUAGAGUCUCACUCUGUUGCCCAAGCUGGAGUGCAGAGACAUGAUCUCGGUUCAUUGCAACCUCCGCCUCCUGGGUUCAAGUGACUCUCUUGCCUCAGCCUCCCGAGUAGCUGGGAUUACAGGUGCUCACCACCACGCCUGGCUAUUUUUUUUUUUUUUGUAUUUUUAGUAGAGACAGGGUUUCGCCAUGUUGGCCAGGCUGAUCUCGAACUCCUGACCUCAGGUGAUCUGCCCGCCUCAGCUACAGUCUUAAGCGAGGAGCUGGGUCAUUCUGCUAUGGGGCAAAGUGGGGUGCAAUAUCUUCCUUUGUGACUCAGUUUCCUAUAUGUUAAGUCUAUACACCCAUACAUUUAUUGAAUGUAGAUUCUCAUUUGAAUUCCUCUGGGGACAGUCCUUGAGUGAAAACACAAACCCAUUCACUCUGGGAAUUCCUGGUCCCUGAGCACAGGUGCAGGCUGCAAAGACACAGUCACCUGUGAAACAUGCGGAUGCCCCCAGGCCUGGGGUCAGAGGCCCUGGAGGAAGUCAGGGGGGCUGCCACAAAUCAAGCAGUUUUUCCUUGCCAAAGGACCCCCAACAGCCCAGCCUGGCCAACAUGGCAUAGCCCCAUCUCUACCAAAAAUACAAAAAUUAGCCAGGCAUGUUGGCGCACAUCUGUAAUCCCACCUACUUGGGAGGGUGAGGCAGGAGAAUGGCUUUGAGGUUGGGAGGUGGAGGCUGCAGCAAGCCAAGAUCGUGCCACUGCACUCCAGCCUUGGUGACAGGGGGUCUGUCUUAAAAAAAGAAAAAAGGCUGGGCGCGGUGGCUCACGCCUGUAAUCCCAGCACUUUGGGAGGCUGACGCGGACGAAUCAUGAGGUCAAGAGAUGGAGACCAUCCUGGCUAACACGGUGACACCCUGUCUCUACUAAAAAUACAAAAAAAAUUAGCCGGAUGUGAUGGUGGGCACCUGUAGUCCCAGCUACUCAGGAGGCUGAGGCAGGAGAAUCGCUUGAACCCAGGAGGCGGAGGUUGCAGUGAGCCGAGAUCGCGCCACUGCACUCCAGCCUAGGCGACAGAGCAAGACUGUCUCACAAAAAAAAAAAAAGAAAGAAAGAAAAGGAUGCCCAACAGUAUCUAGCACAGCAACUCCUCUACUGCAUCAAGGGUGCCCGCUUGCCCACACUCAGCUGCAAGCUGCUGUCUCUCCAAGUUUCUUGUCGGCCUGAGGCCUAGAGAAGAAAGCCAGUGUGUCAUGAGUCCCCUCUCACCACUGACAUUCCUGACAACUCCCCAUCAGGAAGGAAGCACUGGGGCUGGAGACCGAUGGUCCCUCUGGUCCCUUUGCCCUGGGUUUGGGAUUCGCACCCAGGAGACCCAUGGAAUCACUGAGACCCCAGUCACAGCAGGGGCUCCAGGCAUGACUUCAGGAUAAGAAAAUAAACACCUAUGUGAAGGACGCCUGGCUCAAGAAAUAGAACUUUCCAGGAAAUAGGGAACUGAAGGUUAUCUCUGGCAAUCUGGAGAGGCCAGGAACCCACCGCAGGCCCCCUGGAGAUGGAGAGGGAAACAGGAAACCCCUCUUCCAUGGCUGCAACUGGUUCUCCGGAAUACUCCUUCCUUCUCCUACCCACAGUCCAACCAGGCUGAGGCCACAGAUACUUGGAACUCCUCAUCCCUGUCCUUACUUUUUUUGCCUCAAGUAAGAAAUCAGAUGACACAUCAGACCCAGGUCCUGGGGAACUCCCUGGGAAAUCAGACACUGGCAGCCCAAGGGUAUUUUUGUUUUGUUUUGUUUUGUUUUGUUUUGAGAUGGAGUCUCGCUCUGUCGCCCAGGCUGGAGUGCAGUGGUGCCAUCUCAGCUCACUGCAACCUCUGCCUUCUGGGUUCAAGCGAUUCUCCUGCCUCAGCCUCCUGAUGCACGCCACCAUGCCUGGCUAAUUUUUUGUAUUUUUAAUAGAGACGGGUUUCACCGUGUUAGCCAGGAUGGUCUCCAUCUCCUGACCUUGUGAUCCGCCCACCUCGGCCUCUCAAAGUGCUGGGAUUACAGGUGUGAGCCACUGUGCCCAGCCCCAAGGGUGUUUUUUUAAAGACAGAGGAUAUGGGAUGGGGUGGUGCAGCUUUGCUCAGAAUCCUCAUCCUCAAGGUCAAAAAAAUAAGAAAAAAAAUUGAGUUAAGUCCAGGCGUGGUGGCUCAUGCCUAUAAUCCCAACACUUUGGGAGGCCGAGGCGGGUGGAUCACUUGAGGUCAGCAGUUCGAGACCAGCCUGGCCAUAAUGGUGAAACCUUGUCUCUACUAAAAAUAUAAAAAUUAGCCAGGUGUGGUGGUGUGUGCCUGUAGUCCCAGCUACUCGAGAGACUGAGGCAGGAGAAUUGCAUGAACCCAGGAGGCAGAAGUUGCAGUGAGCCAAGAUCAUGCCACUGCACUCCAGUCUGAGCGACAGAGUGAGACUCCAUCUUAAAAAAAAAAAAAAAAAAUUUUGAGCAAAAUCCAACCCCACUGGAAAUCAGAAAAAGGAAGAAAAAAAAAGAUUAUGGGAAAAAAAAUAUAGAAUCUUGGUCCUAUGUCCAGGCAUGGUGGCUCCUGCCUAUCCCAGUGCUUUGGGAGGCCAAGGCUGGAGCAUCGCUUGAAGCCAGGAGUUUGAGACCGGCCUGGACAACCUAGCAAGACCCCCAUCUCUACAGAAAAACCUUUUUUUUUUUUCAGAUGAAAUUUUGCUCUUGUUGCCCAGGCUGGAGUGCAAUAGCACAAUCUCGGCUCACUGCAACCUCCGCCUCCCGGGUUCAAGCGAUUCUCCUGCCUCAGCCUCCCAAGUACCUGGGAUUACAGGCACCCACCACCACGUCCAACUAAUUUUGUAUUUUUGGUAGAGGUGAAGUUUCACCAUGUUGGCCAGGCUGGUCUCAAAUUCCCGACCUCAGGUGAUCCACCUGCCUCGGCCUCCCAAAAUGGUGGGAUUACAGGUGUGACCACCUCGCCUGACCAAGGUCUCUCUUUUUUUUUUUUUUUUUUUUUUGAGAUGGAGUCUCGCUCUAUUGCCCAGGCUGGGCUGGAGUGCAGUGGCACUGUCUCGCCUCUCUGAAAGCUCCGCCUCCCGGGUUCACGCCAUUCUCCUGCCUCAGCCUCCCGAGUAGCUGGGAUUACAGUCGCCCGCCAUGACGCCCGGGUAAUUUUUUGUAUUUUUAGUAGAGAUGGGGUUUCACCGUGUUAGCCAGGAUGGUCUCAAUCUCCUGACUUCAUGAUCUGCCUGCCUCGGCCUCCCAAAGUUCUGGGAUUACAGGCGUGAGCCACCACACCCAGCCAGUCUCCUUUUUUUUAUAGGGCUCCUCUCACAGUGCCUGGCUCACUGAAAGUUUUCAGUAGAGUACAGGGAUUGUCACUCACACAGAGCGAGGAUUGCCAGGGAUUUGUUUGUACCAGAGGCUGGAGUAGAGGUUAGGAAACCACAGGGCAUUCCUAGUGUCUAACCAGCCAGGGCCAGGCAGGCUUUCCAUCCUUCCUUUGGUGCAAACGCCCUCGCAGUUGACUCAUUCCCCAACCCUGAGGUCUGUGGCCCCCAUCCCCCAGCCACACCACUUCCCCAUUAGCAUGGUGGCCCCUCUGGUCUCUGCCGUUCUAGCUUCCUGUCCAUGCCUCCUGGUUCAGCCCAGAUGUGGCCAUGGCCCAUCCUCCACUCCCCUGGGAGGACAGAUCUGGCUCAGGGCUGUCUGCAGUCUUGAAUCCCUCUCCUCUCUCCUCUGAAGCCAGGGUAAAGCACACACCACACAGCCUGGCCCACAGCAGGACUGAUUCUAGUACAUUCCCAGAUGGUCUAUGUCAGCUGGGAAUGCUUGACUUCCUGUUUUGUUUUCCGUCAGCAAUCCUAAACCAGAACUUUCUUUCCCAUAAGAACGAUUUCUUCAGGUUGCUGACACGGUGACACCACUUUGAAAAGGAGGGAAGUUUGGAGCACUUUUUGUUUAGAUCAGAAUUUAAAAUGAUGCCAGGCAGGGUGGCUCACGCCUGUAAUCCCAGGACUUAUGGAGGCCAAGACGGGUGGAUCAUUUGAGGUCAGGAGUUCGAGACGAGCCUGGCCAACAUAGUGAAACCCUGUCUCUACUGAAAAUACAAAAAUCAGCCGGAUUUCGUGGUGGGCACCUGUAGUCCCAGCUACUCGGGAGGCUGAGGCAGGAGAAUUGCUUGAAUUUGGGAGGCAGAGGUUGCAGUGAGCCGAGAUUGCACCACUGCACUGCAGUCUGGGUGAAAAAGCGAGGCUCCAUCUCAAAUAAAUAAAUAAAUAAAUGAAAUAGUAAAAUGAGGACAUUGGACAAGGUUAUCUCUAAACAGCACACUCUGGCUUAACUUUGACAUUUCAGGAUAAGUGAGUUUCUCAGGAAACAGACCUAUAAAUAAAGCUCAGUAGUUUCCUUCCAGGACCCCCAGAUAGCAGUGUAGAAAAUGCACUCCAUCUUAACACAAAAAAUAAAAAGUCAAAAAAUUAGCCAGGCGUGGUGGUGCGUGCAUGUAGUCCUAGAUAUUUGAGAGGCUGAGGUGGGAGGAGGGAGGAUCUUUUGAGCCCAGGAGUUGGAGUCUCCAGUGAGCUAAGAUUGCAACACUGCACUCCAGCCCGAGUGACAAAGGGAGACCCUGUCUCAAAAAAAAACAAAAAAAAAGGGCGGGGCGGGGUGGCGGCGGGCAUGGUGGCUCGCCCCUAUAAUCCCAGCACUUUGGGAGGCCGAGUGGGCGGAUCAUCUGAGGUCAGAAGUUCAAGACCAACCUGGCCAACAUGGUGAAACCCUGUCUCUACUAAAAAUAUUUUAAAAUUUAGCUGGGUGUGGUGGUGAGCACCAGUAAUCCCAGCUACUCCGGAGGCUGAAGCAGGAGAAUCACCUGAACCCGGGAGAUGGAGGUUGCAGUGAACUGAGACCGCGCCAUUGCACUCCAGCCUGGGCAACAGGAACGAAACCCCAUCAAAAAAAUAAAAGAGG